GAAGCUAACGCGUUAAGUUCGCCGCCUGGGGAGUACGGUCGCAAGACUGAAACUCAAAGGAAUUGACGGGGGCCCGCACAAGCGGUGGAGUAUGUGGUUUAAUUCGAUGCAACGCGCAGAACCUUACCUGGUCUUGACAUGUCGAGAACUUUCUAGAGAUAGAUUGGUGCCUUCGGGAACUCGAACACAGGUGCUGCAUGGCUGUCGUCAGCUCGUGUCGUGAGAUGUUGGGUUAAGUCCCGCAACGAGCGCAACCCUUGUCAUUAGUUGCUACGCAAGAGCACUCUAAUGAGACUGCCGGUGACAAACCGGAGGAAGGUGGGGAUGACGUCAGGUCCUCAUGGCCCUUAUGGGUAGGGCUACACACGUCAUACAAUGGCCGGUACAGAGGGCUGCCAACCCGCGAGGGGGAGCCAAUCCCAGAAAACCGGUCGUAGUCCGGAUCGUAGUCUGCAACUCGACUGCGUGAAGUCGGAAUCGCUAGUAAUCGCGGAUCAGCUUGCCGCGGUGAAUACGUUCCCGGGUCUUGUACACACCGCCCGUCACACCAUGGGAGCGGGUUCUGCCAGAAGUAGUUAGCCUAACCGCAAGGAGGGCGAUUACCACGGCAGGGUUCGUGACUGGGGUGAAGUCGUAACAAGGUAACCA
rnacentral:rRNA from 1 species